AAGGAUCCGUACGUCCUCUCGUCGGUUGCAUGGAUUUCUUAAUUUUCUCACGAAAAAGUGCGUUUAGUGUACACAAUUUAUGCGUAAUCUGUUACUAGUGCCCUGCUUAGCCUCCUGAAAAAGCGCGUUAUAUUAAUACUACAACACCACACACUGCUUCCCCACUCACACGAGCAUUGCUAGCUCUCUGUGUUGGUUAAUAAAAUUUCCUAAUUCAACAUUAGCGAAUUUCGUUAGCUGAUGCGGUUGGUUAACAGUGUUUUUGUCGGUGUGGAUCCUCGGCUUAAGAUGACUCCAGAGCGCGGCGCGGCCUUCCCCAAGAGAGGAGACUUCUUGGGUCACCCCCUAACUCUGAUGUUCGGGCAUCGAUGACCUGUGUAGCAUGCAGAGGUACCCAAGGGAGUCACCACCCUCUGGUUUACGAGCUAGGUGUUCUAAUGCUAGAGGCCUCGGCCGGAUACGACCUGGCACCCAAGCUCCGAGAUUUCUUCGUGCACGUAUUCCGUGACCCUCGAAGAGGCAGGGGGCGGGAUGUCGGACACAUUGAAGAUGAUGAGGGGGGUCCGCCUGUAGGGGGUCCCGGUGGAUGUCCGUCCGACGGGUGACGAGGGUGACCCCAGACGAGGCGGCUUAAUUGGGAUGGGAACUGACUGGUGAGGCUUAAUCGUCGACCAACGGGUCGAAUCUGCAUAAGGAAGGCAACCAGCACACACUCGCAGGCGGGUCGUGCAAACAUUUUUUUGUUUUUUCUCUUGGACUGCCCCACGUCGAAUUUUGAAGGCAGAAAAUGUCGGGAGGAGGCGAGCAUAACCAGGCCUAACUUAAACCUGUUAAAAGACAACCCGGGUUCGCAGCGCGAUUUUAAAAAACAAGAAUGAAGAAGUCAGAAAAUCUGUCUACAUGCUGCAUAUGAUCAGUCCCAAAAAAUUUCGGAUUGUUCCAGGCACCGUCGAAUACCUGGAAAACGUGUUUAUUGUCAACUCUACAGAAUCGACCGACGUUCAUGGAGUUGGGGGCAUUCGAUGUGCCCCAUAGCAGUGAGACGCCACUGUUUUUUUCGCCGUAUAAUUAUUAUGGUGGGACUGAAAAUGAACUUAAGCAAGGUGCGAUGGUUUUUCUCUUACAGGUGAUACGGUAUGGCUUGGAGAACUUCAAAAGUCGGUUCGCGUCGUGGUUCCAAAGCAGUAACUUUAGGUUCCCUACAUUUACAGAAUGUCAUAAGUACUCAUUUUUUAAUUUGCAAUUUUUACAUUCAUUUUUACUUUUUUUCUUACUCUAUACAAGGCUUUAAUAUAAAGUUUUUUUAGUAAUAAUAAAUGGGUAAUAAAAAAAUAACUCUAAAGAGACACAAUUAGGUAGCAUAUUGUUUUUCUAUUAUAUUUGGAAAUAACUGAGGUCUUAUUUUAAAAUUGAUAAUAUUGUUUAAUUUUUUUAA